GGUUCAGGAUGAACGCUAGCGACAGGCCUAACACAUGCAAGUCGAGGGGCAGCACAAGGAGCAAUCUGAGGUGGCGACCGGCGCACGGGUGAGUAACACGUAUGCAACCUGCCUGUAAGCGGGGAAUAACCCGUUGAAAGACGGACUAAUACCGCAUAAUACUAAAUUACUGCAUGGUAAUUUAUUUAAACAUUUAUGGCUUACAGAUGGGCAUGCGCAUGAUUAGCUAGUUGGAGAGGUAACGGCUCCCCAAGGCAACGACCAUUAGGGGUUCUGAGAGGAAGGUCCCCCCACACUGGUACUGAGACACGGACCAGACUCCUACGGGAGGCAGCAGUGAGGAAUAUUGGUCAAUGGACGAGAGUCUGAACCAGCCAAGUCGCGUGCAGGAAGAAAUGUCCUAUGGAUUGUAAACUGCUUUUGCAGGGGAAUAAAGUGCAUCACGUGUGAUGUUUUGUAUGUACUCUGCGAAUAAGGAUCGGCUAACUCCGUGCCAGCCGCCGC
rnacentral:rRNA from 1 species